rfam:Sorghum bicolor cultivar BTx623 chromosome 3, whole genome shotgun sequence.
CAAUCGGCUUUUUUUUCUAAAAGCCAUCAAAUUAUAUUGAAAAUGUUG